rnacentral:rRNA from 1 species
CGGAUGGUCAUGCGUCGCAUUAGCUAGUUGGCGGGGUAACGGCCCACCAAGGCGACGAUGCGUAGGGGUUCUGAGAGGAAGGUCCCCCACACUGGUACUGAGACACGGACCAGACUCCUACGGGAGGCAGCAGUGAGGAAUAUUGGUCAAUGGCCGCAGGGCUGAACCAGCCAAGUCGCGUGAGGGAUGACGGUCCUAUGGAUUGUAAACCUCUUUUGUCAGGGAGCAAAGGGCGCCACGUGUGGCGCUUUGCGAGUACCUGAAGAAAAAGCAUCGGCUAACUCCGUGCCAGCAGCCGCGGUAAUACGGAGGAUGCGAGCGUUAUCCGGAUUUAUUGGGUUUAAAGGGUGCGCAGGCGGAAUGUCAAGUCAGCGGUAAAAUUUCGGGGCUCAACCCCGUCGUGCCGUUGAAACUGGCGUUCUUGAGUGAGCGAGAAGUAUGCGGAAUGCGUGGUGUAGCGGUGAAAUGCAUAGAUAUCACGCAGAACUCCGAUUGCGAAGGCAGCAUACCGGCGCUCAACUGACGCUCAUGCACGAAAGCGUGGGUAUCGAACAGGAUUAGAUACCCUGGUAGUCCACGCAGUAAACGAUGAAUACUAACUGUCCGGGCAGAAUGAUGCCUGG